rnacentral:misc_RNA from 1 species
ACAAACUUGGUCAUUUAGAGGAAGUAAAAGUCGUAACAAGGUUUCCGUAGGUGAACCUGCGGAAGGAUCAUUAUUGAAACGUGCGGUCGCUUCGGGGAGCCCUGCGCCGGCGGAGACGCCGUGCCGCGGGCCGCCGUCGCGGCUUUGUUCACAUCCACACCCCUGUGCACCUUUGGGAAGGCGGGUUAGCGCCCGUCGGCCCGCUUCACAAACUCUUUAUAAAUGUAUUCAGAAUGUAUAGCGGACUCCGAGCCGCCUAAUAUCAAUAACAACUUUCAACAACGGAUCUCUUGGCUCUCGCAUCGAUGAAGAACGCAGC